rnacentral:lncRNA from 1 species
UUUGAGCUGCAUUUCAUCGUCAACCCCAUGGGAGAUCAAUUCAUGUAGGUAGAUCCUGAGCGGUCGCGCUCUGGGCCUGAUCCUGAGCUUGCUUAUUGUGAGUGUCUAUUCAUUAUUUGAAACUAUUGACGCUACUUUUCUUGUGCCAAAAAAUUUCUAUGAUUUCGGUUUUCCAUAUUGAAAAAAAACUACCUUGACAAACACAUCUAUCCGUUCGUAGAAGAUUAUCCUAAUUUGACGGGAUGGGAGGAGGAAAUAUAUAAUGUGGCCAAGAAAAUUCUGGAGGAGCCAAGUACAAAGCAUAUGCUACCCUUCCACCAUGUUGUUUUGUAGUUCAGUAUGCAUGAUCUUCUUUCUUAAACUACACAACAAAAUAUAAUCUACUGAUUCCACUUCUACAUAGGUUGUAUCUCAUUUGAGGGAAGAUCAGAAAAAUUAUUAAGCAUAACAUGUCACCUUAUUUCAUUUUAAGUGUAAGGUCUGCUCUACCUUAGGAUCACAUGGUUUGUGUGAUUUGAUGAGCUCAUCCAAUUCUCAUAUUUUCCAUUGCUCAUUAAUCUUUUUCCUUUUCCCGGUGAGAUGUAGCACGUGGUCACUGGACUGAGAAGGGACAUGGAUAAAGAUUUUCAUAACAGUGUGGACGAACUGCCAUCGGAGUUGAACCAUGUGAGCAUGACUACAAGCAUCUUCACCCACACUUUACUGGUAUUUAGUUUCCAUUUCCCAACUAGAUUAUUCUGUAGAAUGUACUAAUGUAUAUGUUCUUUGCCUGCAUGCUUGUGAGCGGUGUGUAUUCUGCAAGUUUCAGAAAGAACAACUCAAAGAAUAUAUAACAUUUUGUCGUGGAAGCCCAUGACCAAGGGGAAGCCAUCCAAUACUACAUAAAGAUUGAAGGUACAUGUGCAAAACCGUUUUUUUUAAUUUGAUUCACUUCCGACUGAAGUCUAGCGAGAUAGCUAACCCUUACAAAAUCCUGGUAGAGUUCACCGUGAGGUUCAUGAGCUUCUACGGAUCAUGCAUAGCGAAGAACUCGAGUAAUUGUAUGAAGGGGGUGAUCCACUCUGGUGAUGACCCACAAGUGUAGGGGAUUUAUUGUAGUCCUUUUGAUAAGAAAGAGUGUCGAACCCAACGAGGAGCAGAAGGAAAUGACAGACAGUUUUCAACAUGGUAUUCUCUGCAAGCACUGAAAUUAUCGGUAACAGAUAGUUUUGUGAUAAGAUAAUUCAUAACGGGUAAGAAGUAACAAGGGUAACAAAGAUGCAGCAAGGUGGUCCAAUCCUUUUUGUAGCAAAGGACAAGCUUCGACAAACUCUUAUAUAAGUAAAGCGCUCCCGAGGACACAUGUGAAUUACUGUCAAGCUAGUUUUCAUCAUGCUCAUAUGAUCCGCCUUUGUUACUUAAUUUGAUAUGUGGGUGGACCGGUGCUUGGGUCUUGUACUUAC